GAACGCUGGCGGCGUGCUUAACACAUGCAAGUCGAACGGAAAGGCCCUGCUUUUGUGGGGUGCUCGAGUGGCGAACGGGUGAGUAACACGGGAGUAACCUGCCCUUGACUUUGGGAUAACUUCAGGAAACUGGGGCUAAUACCGGAUAGGAGCUCCUGCUGCAUGGUGGGGGUUGGAAAGUUUCGGCGGUUGGGGAUGGACUCGCGGCUUAUCAGCUUGUUGGUGGGGUAGUGGCUUACCAAGGCUUUGACGGGUAGCCGGCCUGAGAGGGUGACCGGCCACAUUGGGACUGAGAUACGGCCCAGACUCCUACGGGAGGCAGCAGUGGGGAAUAUUGCACAAUGGGCGGAAGCCUGAUGCAGCAACGCCGCGUGCGGGAUGACGGCCUUCGGGUUGUAAACCGCUUUCGCCUGUGACGAAGCGUGAGUGACGGUAAUGGGUAAAGAAGCACCGGCUAACUACGUG
rnacentral:rRNA from 1 species